rnacentral:rRNA from 1 species
GGGUUGUGAGGUUAAGCGACUAAGCGUACACGGUGGAUGCCCUGGCAGUCAGAGGCGAUGAAGGACGUGCUAAUCUGCGAUAAGCGUCGGUAAGGUGAUAUGAACCGUUAUAACCGGCGAUUUCCGAAUGGGGAAACCCAGUGUGUUUCGACACACUAUCAUUAACUGAAUCCAUAGGUUAAUGAGGCGAACCGGGGGAACUGAAACAUCUAAGUACCCCGAGGAAAAGAAAUCAACCGAGAUUCCCCCAGUAGCGGCGAGCGAACGGGGAGCAGCCCAGAGCCUGAAUCAGUGUGUGUGUUAGUGGAAGCGUCUGGAAAGGCGUGCGAUACAGGGUGACAGCCCCGUACACAAAAAUGCACAUGCUGUGAGCUCGAUGAGUAGGGCGGGACACGUGGUAUCCUGUCUGAAUAUGGGGGGACCAUCCUCCAAGGCUAAAUACUCCUGACUGACCGAUAGUGAACCAGUACCGUGAGGGAAAGGCGAAAAGAACCCCGGCGAGGGGAGUGAAAAAGAACCUGAAACCGUGUACGUACAAGCAGUGGGAGCACGCUUAGGCGUGUGACUGCGUACCUUUUGUAUAAUGGGUCAGCGACUUAUAUUCUGUAGCAAGGUUAACCGAAUAGGGGAGCCGAAGGGAAACCGAGUCUUAACUGGGCGUUAAGUUGCAGGGUAUAGACCCGAAACCCGGUGAUCUAGCCAUGGGCAGGUUGAAGGUUGGGUAACACUAACUGGAGGACCGAACCGACUAAUGUUGAAAAAUUAGCGGAUGACUUGUGGCUGGGGGUGAAAGGCCAAUCAAACCGGGAGAUAGCUGGUUCUCCCCGAAAGCUAUUUAGGUAGCGCCUCGUGAAUUCAUCUCCGGGGGUAGAGCACUGUUUCGGCAAGGGGGUCAUCCCGACUUACCAACCCGAUGCAAACUGCGAAUACCGGAGAAUGUUAUCACGGGAGACACACGGCGGGUGCUAACGUCCGUCGUGAAGAGGGAAACAACCCAGACCGCCAGCUAAGGUCCCAAAGUCAUGGUUAAGUGGGAAACGAUGUGGGAAGGCCCAGACAGCCAGGAUGUUGGCUUAGAAGCAGCCAUCAUUUAAAGAAAGCGUAAUAGCUCACUGGUCGAGUCGGCCUGCGCGGAAGAUGUAACGGGGCUAAACCAUGCACCGAAGCUGCGGCAGCGACGCUUAUGCGUUGUUGGGUAGGGGAGCGUUCUGUAAGCCUGCGAAGGUGUGCUGUGAGGCAUGCUGGAGGUAUCAGAAGUGCGAAUGCUGACAUAAGUAACGAUAAAGCGGGUGAAAAGCCCGCUCGCCGGAAGACCAAGGGUUCCUGUCCAACGUUAAUCGGGGCAGGGUGAGUCGACCCCUAAGGCGAGGCCGAAAGGCGUAGUCGAUGGGAAACAGGUUAAUAUUCCUGUACUUGGUGUUACUGCGAAGGGGGGACGGAGAAGGCUAUGUUGGCCGGGCGACGGUUGUCCCGGUUUAAGCGUGUAGGCUGGUUUUCCAGGCAAAUCCGGAAAAUCAAGGCUGAGGCGUGAUGACGAGGCACUACGGUGCUGAAGCAACAAAUGCCCUGCUUCCAGGAAAAGCCUCUAAGCAUCAGGUAACAUCAAAUCGUACCCCAAACCGACACAGGUGGUCAGGUAGAGAAUACCAAGGCGCUUGAGAGAACUCGGGUGAAGGAACUAGGCAAAAUGGUGCCGUAACUUCGGGAGAAGGCACGCUGAUAUGUAGGUGAAGCGACUUGCUCGUGGAGCUGAAAUCAGUCGAAGAUACCAGCUGGCUGCAACUGUUUAUUAAAAACACAGCACUGUGCAAACACGAAAGUGGACGUAUACGGUGUGACGCCUGCCCGGUGCCGGAAGGUUAAUUGAUGGGGUCAGCGCAAGCGAAGCUCUUGAUCGAAGCCCCGGUAAACGGCGGCCGUAACUAUAACGGUCCUAAGGUAGCGAAAUUCCUUGUCGGGUAAGUUCCGACCUGCACGAAUGGCGUAAUGAUGGCCAGGCUGUCUCCACCCGAGACUCAGUGAAAUUGAACUCGCUGUGAAGAUGCAGUGUACCCGCGGCAAGACGGAAAGACCCCGUGAACCUUUACUAUAGCUUGACACUGAACAUUGAGCCUUGAUGUGUAGGAUAGGUGGGAGGCUUUGAAGUGUGGACGCCAGUCUGCAUGGAGCCGACCUUGAAAUACCACCCUUUAAUGUUUGAUGUUCUAACGUUGACCCGUAAUCCGGGUUGCGGACAGUGUCUGGUGGGUAGUUUGACUGGGGCGGUCUCCUCCUAAAGAGUAACGGAGGAGCACGAAGGUUGGCUAAUCCUGGUCGGACAUCAGGAGGUUAGUGCAAUGGCAUAAGCCAGCUUGACUGCGAGCGUGACGGCGCGAGCAGGUGCGAAAGCAGGUCAUAGUGAUCCGGUGGUUCUGAAUGGAAGGGCCAUCGCUCAACGGAUAAAAGGUACUCCGGGGAUAACAGGCUGAUACCGCCCAAGAGUUCAUAUCGACGGCGGUGUUUGGCACCUCGAUGUCGGCUCAUCACAUCCUGGGGCUGAAGUAGGUCCCAAGGGUAUGGCUGUUCGCCAUUUAAAGUGGUACGCGAGCUGGGUUUAGAACGUCGUGAGACAGUUCGGUCCCUAUCUGCCGUGGGCGCUGGAGAACUGAGGGGGGCUGCUCCUAGUACGAGAGGACCGGAGUGGACGCAUCACUGGUGUUCGGGUUGUCAUGCCAAUGGCACUGCCCGGUAGCUAAAUGCGGAAGAGAUAAGUGCUGAAAGCAUCUAAGCACGAAACUUGCCCCGAGAUGAGUUCUCCCUGACUCCUUGAGAGUCCUGAAGGAACGUUGAAGACGACGACGUUGAUAGGCCGGGUGUGUAAGCGCAGCGAUGCGUUGAGCUAACCGGUACUAAUGAACCGUGAGGCUUAACCUUACAACGCCGAAGCUGUU